rnacentral:rRNA from 1 species
AUGAAGGGCGCCAUCGUUCUCCUCGGUCUUGUUGUGGUGGGGGCGCUUGUUGGUGCGGUCGCCGCCAGCGCUGGGGUGGUGCGGCGGCCGGUGGUGCCGGCGAUGUUCGUGCUUGGGGACUCAACGCUGGACGUGGGCAACAACAACCACCUGCCGGGGAAGGACGUGCCCAGGGCCAACCAGCCUUUCUACGGCGUCGACUUCCCCGGCCGCGCCAUUGCCACCGGACGUUUCAGCAACGGCUACAACAUCGCCGACUUCAUCGCAAAGUACCUGGGGUUCGAGAAGAGCCCUCUGGCCUAUCUGGUACUUAAAUCACGCAACUAUCUCAUCCCUAGCGCUCUCACGAGAGGUGUGAGCUACGCUUCAGCUGGAGCUGGGAUCCUCGACUCCACUAGUGCCGAGAUCAGCAUCCCAUUGUCGAAGCAGGUACGCUACUUUGCGGCGACCAAGGCUGAGAUGGAAGCCGCAGUUGGCAGAGGCAACGUGUCCAGGCUCCUCGCUCACUCCUUCUUCCUCCUCGGCGUUGGCAGCAACGACCUGUUCCAGUCCACGGCGACCACCCAGGGCGAUGUCAUUGCGCUCUACACUGCUCUCAUCUCCAACUACACGGCAGCGAUCACUGAUUUGUAUGGGAUGGGGGCGAGGAAGUUCGGGUUCAUCAGUGUCAGCCCGCUGGGCUGCGUGCCAGCGGUGCGCGUGCUCAAUGCGACGGGGGCAUGUAACGAUGCCAUGAACCAGAUCGCCAUGGGAUUCACCGCCACGCUUAAGUCUGCACUCGCCGGCCUCGCCCCGAAGCUCCCAGGCCUCGUCUACUCCCUCGGCGACUCCUUCGCUGCCUUGGAGACAACCUUCUCCAACCCGCAAGCAGCUGGGUACGAGAACGCAGACAGCGCGUGCUGCGGGAGCGGGAGGCUGGGCGCGGAGGGCGGCUACUGCACGCGGAACUCCAAGCUGUGCACCGACCACGACGCCUAUGUGUACUGGGACUGGAUCCACUCCACGCAGCGGGCUGCCGAGCUGGGUGCCCAGGCGCUCUUCAAUGAGGGCCCGGCCCAGGUCACCGCACCCAUCAGCUUCGGGCAAUUGGCCCACGAGAGAUAA